CCUAUACUUAUUAUACUCUAUACCAUGACUAUACUCUUUGGUCAUUGGGACUGGCACGCACCUCGUACGACUGUUUUGUUUUCUUGACCUGAAGAAAUAGCAGAAGUUUUAAGGAUUGCAUCAUGCUUGGUUAUCCAAUGGCCUGGCAAGUCUGGUCACUUUUAAGAUUGCGCAAUGCGUGAAAAAUAUAAAUUGAACUUUGUUAUUCCAUCAAAGAAUUAUUGUCCAGUUGCGGUUGUAACUGGAAGAGUCAAGAAUAAAAAGCAUGCUGUGAUUACCUCGGGAAAACUAGAUGCAAGACUAUUGAAUUUUACUAGCAAUAAUUCAAUGAGUUCUUUGAUGGAAUAAAUUUUUUGAAUUUCA